AUUGAACGCUGGCGGCAGGCUUGACACAUGCAAGUCGAACGAUGAAACUCUAGCUUGCUAGAGAAGAUUAGUGGCGGACGGGUGAGUAACAUUUAGGAAUCUGCCUAGUAGUGGGGAAUAGCUCGGGGAAACUCGAAUUAAUACCGCAUACGACCUACGGGUGAAAGGGGGCGCAAGCUCUUGCUAUUAGAUGAGCCUAAAUCAGAUUAGCUAGUUGGUGGGGUAAAGGCCCACCAAGGCGACGAUCUGUAACUGGUCUGAGAGGAUGAUCAGUCACACCGGAACUGAGACACGGUCCGGACUCCUACGGGAGGCAGCAGUGGGGAAUAUUGGACAAUGGGGGCAACCCUGAUCCAGCCAUGCCGCGUGUGUGAAGAAGGCCUUUUGGUUGUAAAGCACUUUAAGCAGGGAGGAGAGGCUAAUGGUUAAUACCCAUUAGAUUAGACGUUACCUGCAGAAUAAGCACCGGCUAACUCUGUGCCAGCAGCCGCGGUAAUACAGAGGGUGCGAGCGUUAAUCGGAAUUACUGGGCGUAAAGCGAGUGUAGGUGGCUCAUUAAGUCACAUGUGAAAUCCCCGGGCUUAACCUGGGAACUGCAUGUGAUACUGGUGGUGCUAGAAUAUGUGAGAGGGAAGUAGAAUUCCAGGUGUAGCGGUGAAAUGCGUAGAGAUCUGGAGGAAUACCGAUGGCGAAGGCAGCUUCCUGGCAUAAUAUUGACACUGAGAUUCGAAAGCGUGGGUAGCAAACAGGAUUAGAUACCCUGGUAGUCCACGCCGUAAACGAUGUCUACUAGCCGUUGGGGUCCUUGAGACUUUAGUGGCGCAGUUAACGCGAUAAGUAGACCGCCUGGGGAGUACGGCCGCAAGGUUAAAACUCAAAUGAAUUGACGGGGGCCCGCACAAGCGGUGGAGCAUGUGGUUUAAUUCGAUGCAACGCGAAGAACCUUACCUGGUCUUGACAUAGUGAGAAUCUCUCAGAGAUGAGAGAGUGCCUUCGGGAACUCACAUACAGGUGCUGCAUGACUGUCGUCAGCUCGUGUCGUGAGAUGUUGGGUUAAGUCCCGCAACGAGCGCAACCCUUUUCCUUAUUUGCCAGCGGGUUAAGCCGGGAACUUUAAGGAUACUGCCAGUGACAAACUGGAGGAAGGCGGGGACGACGUCAAGUCAUCAUGGCCCUUACGACCAGGGCUACACACGUGCUACAAUGGUAGGUACAGAGGGUUGCUACACAGCGAUGUGAUGCUAAUCUCAAAAAGCCUAUCGUAGUCCGGAUUGGAGUCUGCAACUCGACUCCAUGAAGUCGGAAUCGCUAGUAAUCGCGGAUCAGAAUGCCGCGGUGAAUACGUUCCCGGGCCU
rnacentral:rRNA from 1 species